UAGGGAAUCUUCCACAAUGGGCGGAAAGCCUGAUGGAGCAACGCCGCGUGUGUGAUGAAGGGUUUCGGUUCGUAAACACUGUUGUAAGAGAAGAAUGACAUUGAGAGUAACUGUUCAAUGUGUGACGGUAUCUUACAGAAAGGAACGGCUAAAUACGUGCCAC
rnacentral:rRNA from 1 species